AGAGUUUGAUCCUGGCUCAGGACGAACGCUGGCGGCGUGCCUAAUACAUGCAAGUCGAACGCACUCUCGUUAGAUUGAAGAAGCUUGCUUCUGAUUGAUAACAUUUGAGUGAGUGGCGGACGGGUGAGUAACACGUGGGUAACCUGCCCUAAAGUGGGGGAUAACAUUUGGAAACAGAUGCUAAUACCGCAUAAAACCUAGCACCGCAUGGUGCAAGGUUGAAAGAUGGUUUCGGCUAUCACUUUAGGAUGGACCCGCGGUGCAUUAGUUAGUCGGUGAGGUAAAGGCUCACCAAGACCGUGAUGCAUAGCCGACCUGAGAGGGUAAUCGGCCACACUGGGACUGAGACACGGCCCAGACUCCUACGGGAGGCAGCAGUAGGGAAUCUUCCACAAUGGACGAAAGUCUGAUGGAGCAACGCCGCGUGAGUGAAGAAGGUUUUCGGAUCGUAAAACUCUGUUGUUGGAGAAGAACGUAUUUGAUAGUAACUGAUCAGGUAGUGACGGUAUCCAACCAGAAAGCCACGGCUAACUACGUGCCAGCAGCCGCGGUAAUACGUAGGUGGCAAGCGUUGUCCGGAUUUAUUGGGCGUAAAGCGAGCGCAGGCGGUUUCUUAAGUCUGAUGUGAAAGCCUUCGGCUCAACCGAAGAAGUGCAUCGGAAACUAGGGAACUUGAGUGCAGAAGAGGACAGUGGAACUCCAUGUGUAGCGGUGAAAUGCGUAGAUAUAUGGAAGAACACCAGUGGCGAAGGCGGCUGUCUGGUCUGUAACUGACGCUGAGGCUCGAAAGCAUGGGUAGCAGACAGGAUUAGAUACCCUGGUAGUCCAUGCCGUAAACGAUGAGUGCUAGGUGUUGGAGGGUUUCCGCCCUUCAGUGCCGCAGCUAACGCAUUAAGCACUCCGCCUGGGGA
rnacentral:rRNA from 1 species